rnacentral:rRNA from 1 species
GACGAACGCUGGCGGCGUGCUUAACACAUGCAAGUCGAACGAUGAACCCGGGGCUUGCUCCGGUGGAUUAGUGGCGAACGGGUGAGUAACACGUGAGUAACCUGCCCUUGACUCUGGGAUAACUGCGGGAAACUGUAGCUAAUGCCGGAUACGACCCUCGGCGGCAUCGCCAGGGGGUGGAAAGAAUUUCGGUCAAGGAUGGACUCGCGGCCUAUCAGCUAGUAGGUGAGGUGACGGCUCACCAAGGCGACGACGGGUAGCCGGCCUGAGAGGGUGACCGGCCACACUGGGACUGAGACACGGCCCAGACUCCUACGGGAGGCAGCAGUGGGGAAUAUUGCACAAUGGGCGCAAGCCUGAUGCAGCAACGCCGCGUGAGGGAUGACGGCCUUCGGGUUGUAAACCUCUUUUAGUAGGGAAGAAGCGAAAGUGGCGGUACCUGCAGAAAAAGCACCGGCUAACUACGUGCCAGCCGCCGCCGUAA